GCCUCGGUGGUGCACUGGCAGCACGUGCCCCCGGUAUGGGUGAAAAGCGGGUUCAACUCCCGUCCGGGGUC